rnacentral:rRNA from 1 species
GCAUAUCAAUAAGCGGAGGAAAAGAAACCAACAGGGAUUGCCUUAGUAACGGCGAGUGAAGCGGCAACAGCUCAAAUUUGAAAGCUGGCCCUUUCAGGGUCCGCGUUGUAAUUUGUAGAGGAUGAUUCGGCGAGGGCUCCCGCCUAAGUCCCCUGGAACGGGGCGUCAUAGAGGGUGAGAAUCCCGUAUGCGGUGGGCUGCCUUAGCCAUGUGAAUCUCCUUCGACGAGUCGAGUUGUUUGGGAAUGCAGCUCUAAAUGGGAGGUAAAUUUCUUCUAAAGCUAAAUACCGGCCAGAGACCGAUAGCGCACAAGUAGAGUGAUCGAAAGAUGAAAAGCACUUUGGAAAGAGAGUUAAAAAGUACGUGAAAUUGUUGAAAGGGAAGCGCUUGCAACCAGACUUGUCCGCAGUUGCUCAGCCGGUCUCCUGACCGGCGUACUCUUCUGCGGCCAGGCCAGCAUCAGUUCGGGCGGUCGGAUAAAGACCUCGGGAAUGUAGCUCCUCUCGGGGAGUGUUAUAGCCCGGGGUGCAAUGCGGCCAGCCUGGACUGAGGAUCUCGCUUCGGCAAGGAUGCUGGCGUAAUGGUUGUAAGCGGCCCGUCUUGAAACACGGACC